ensembl:misc_RNA 7SK 7SK RNA
GGCUGAGGGGUCGGGCUGUGACACCAGUCACCUCAUCAACUGCUAGAGUUGACUGAUCUGGCUGGCCAGGUGGGUAUUCCCUUCCUACCUCAGCACUCUGUUUUCAUCCUUCUCAAAGCAACGUGCUCCAAAGACAAUUACCUUCCCUGAUGAAGGAAGACCAUUGGACAAGGGUAGCUUGCUCAUAUGCUAGAACCUUCACACAAGUUCUCAAGAUGUGACUGAGGAAGUCCAGGGACUGGUCCUACCUGUCACUCAACAGGACCUUGGAUGGAUGGAGAGUACCCUUCCAUGCUAA